AUGCCUAGCCGUAAAACAUCAACUCACAUAACACACGCCAGGGAAUUACGAGCAUAGCUUAAAACUCAAAGGACUUGACGGUGUCCCACCCCACUAGAGGAGCCUGUCCUACAAUCGAUGCUCCCCGCUAUACCUCACCACUUCUUGCUUUGUCAGCUAGUAUACUUCCGUCGCAAGCUUACCAUAUGAGUGUGCACAGUGGGCAUAAUGAUCCUUACACCAGCACGUCAGGUCAAGGUGCAGCUUAAGAAGUGGGCUGAGAUGGGCUACAAUUUCUAACUUAGAAUACACGAAAUACUGAAUGAAACCCAGUCAUGAAGGUGGAUCUAGUAGUAAAAAGAAAAUAGAGUGUUCUUUUUAAUACGGGCACUGAGACACGUACAAACCGCCCGUCACCCUCUUCAACAAAACCAAAAAGUCCAUAACACAUUUUUUACCUAAGAAGAGGCAAGUCGUAACAAGGUAAGUGUACCGGAAGGUGCGCUUGGAUCAG
rnacentral:rRNA from 2 species